AGUAUGUCUGGGAACUGCCUGAUGGAGGGGGGUAACUACUGGAAACGGUAGCUAAUACCGCAUAACGUCGCAAGACCAAAGAGGGGGACCUUCGGGCCUCUUGCCAUCGGAUGUGCCCAGAUGGGAUUAGCUAGUAGGUGGGGUAACGGCUCACCUAGGCGACGAUCCCUAGCUGGUCUGAGAGGAUGACCAGCCACACUGGAACUGAGACACGGUCCAGACUCCUACGGGAGGCAGCAGUGGGGAAUAUUGCACAAUGGGCGCAAGCCUGAUGCAGCCAUGCCGCGUGUAUGAAGAAGGCCUUCGGGUUGUAAAGUACUUU
rnacentral:rRNA from 1 species